rnacentral:rRNA from 1 species
UCCACGCCGUAAACGAUGAGUGCUAGAUGUAAGGGGUAUCGACUCCCCUUGUGUCGCAGCUAACGCAUUAAGCACUUCGCCUGGGGAUUACGGCCGCAAGGUUAAAACUCAAAGGAAUUGACGGGGGCCCGCACAAGCGGUGGAGCAUGUGGUUUAAUUCGAUACGCGAGAAACCUUACCUGGUCUUGACAUGUUAGGAACCUUUAAGAGAUUAGAGGGUGCCUGCUUGCAGG